rnacentral:misc_RNA from 1 species
AGCCAUUGUAGCACUGGCACAAUAAUGUUACAAGGAAAUCAGCAGAAGAAUCAAACCAAAGUAUUGCAACACAAUAAAUUGUCUGUGCCAUAGAUUGACCCUAGGUUUCAUUGGAAAGAAAGUAAACCUUAAUGCAAGACCUUAUAAUAAAUGAACAUUGUAUACUCUAGGCUAUUGAUUUUGGACAGGGGUACAGGAAUAUAAUUAUAUAUUUACAUCUGAUAUCGAUAGAGACAUUUUAUUGAUAUAAAUUAUCAUUGUUUUUUACAGGGCAUUGGAUAAAUGUACAUAGUCUGCAAUAACCUUGAAACACGACCCUUCCACUUUCCUAAAGUUGAAGAACAAUACUACAACCAUCCCAACAAAUAACACAUUCAUUUUUUUGUUCCCUUUAUGGAGGCUAGAUGUUUAAAUAUGAAUCAGAUAUCAUCCCCACAGAUGUUAUAUCUAUUUAGAUCCAUUACA